rnacentral:rRNA from 1 species
GAAUAUUGGACAAUGGGCGCAAGCCUGAUCCAGCCAUGCCGCGUGGGUGAAGAAGGCCUUCGGGUUGUAAAGCCCUUUUGUCCGGAAAGAAAAGCUUCGGGUUAAUACCCCGGGGUUCUGACGGUACCGGACGAAUAAGCACCGGCUAACUCCGUGCCAGCAGCCGCGGUAAUACAGAGGGGGCAAGCGUUGUCCGGAAUUACUGGGCGUACAGCGCGCGCAGGCGGUCUGGGACGUGCCGUGUGACAUCCGUCGGCUCAACCGACGGAGGCCAGGGUACACGAGCAGACUGGAGACAGAGAGAGGGAUGUGGAAUACCCGGUGGAGCGGUGAAAUGCGUAGAGAUCGGGUGGAACACCAGGGGCGAAGGCGGCAUCCUGGCUCUGUUCUGACGCUGAGGCGCGAGAGCGUGGGGAGCAAAC